rnacentral:rRNA from 1 species
GAUGAACGCUAGCUACAGGCUUAACACAUGCAAGUCGAGGGGCAGCGGGAUUGAAGCUUGCUUCAAUUGCCGGCGACCGGCGCACGGGUGAGUAACGCGUAUCCAACCUUCCGUACACUCAGGGAUAGCCUUUCGAAAGAAGAUUAAUACCUGAUGGUAUGAUGAGAUUGCAUGAUAGCAUCAUUAAAGAUUUAUCGGUGUACGAUGGGGAUGCGUUCCAUUAGGUAGUAGGCGGAGUAACGGCCCACCUAGCCGACGAUGGAUAGGGGUUCUGAGAGGAAGGUCCCCCACAUUGGAACUGAGACACGGUCCAAACUCCUACGGGAGGCAGCAGUGAGGAAUAUUGGUCAAUGGACGAGAGUCUGAACCAGCCAAGUAGCGUGAAGGAUGAAGGUCCUACGGAUUGUAAACUUCUUUUAUAAGGGAAUAAACCCUCCCACGUGUGGGAGCUUGUAUGUACCUUAUGAAUAAGCAUCGGCUAACUCCGUGCCAG